rnacentral:rRNA from 1 species
UUGGAUCUGGGCUUAAGCGUGCGUAGGCGGAUUUGAAGGCGCUUUGUGAAAUCCCUCGGCUCAACCGAGGAACUGCUUGGCAAACCACAAAUCUUGAGGCUGGUAGAGGUGGUCGGAACAAUAGGUGGAGCGGUGAAAUGCGUAGAUAUCUAUUGGAACACCGAAGGUGAAGACAGGCCACUGGGCCAGUCCUGACGCUGAGGCACGAAAGCGUGGGUAGCAAACGGGAUUAGAUACCCCGGUAGUCCACGCCGUAAACGAUGCGCACUUGGUCGAGGGGGUUGAACGCCUUCUCGGCCGUAGGAAAACUGAUUAGUGCGCCGCCUGGGGAGUACGGUCGCAAGAUUAAAACUCAAAGGAAUUGGCGGGGGAGCAGAACA